rnacentral:rRNA from 1 species
ACUCUCGACAACGGAUAUCUUGGCACUCGCAUCGAUGAAGAAUGUAGCGAAAUGCGAUACCUAGUGCGAAUUGCGGAAUCUCGUGAACCAUUGAGUCUUUGAACGCAAGUUGCGCCCGAGGCCACUCAGCCGAGGGCAUGCCUGUCUGGGCGUCACGCCAAAACGCGCUCCCAACCACCCUCAUCGGGAAUCGGGAUACGGCAUCCGUUCCCUUGUCUCACAAGGGGCGAUGGACCGAAGAUCGGGAUGCCGGCAUACUGCACCGGACACAGCGCAUGGUGGGCGUCCUCGCUUUAUCAACGCGGUGCAUCCGACACGCGGCUGGCAUUAUGGCCUCUGAACGGCCCAACAAAUGAAGCACAUGUCACUUCGACUGUGACCCAGGUCAGGCGGGAAUACCCAUCGAGUUUAAGCAUAUAAAUAACCGGAGAAGAAGAAACUUAGAAGGAUUCCCCUAGUAACGGCGAGCAAACUGGGAGCAGCCCAACUUGAGAAUCAGGCGGUUGUGCCAUCCGAAUUGUAGUCUCAAGAGCAUCCUCAGCGAUGGACCAAACCCAAGUCCACUGGAAAGGGGCGCCUGGGAGGGUGAGAGCCCCAUCCUGCCCGGACCCAGUCGCCCCACAAGGCGCCAUCAAUGAGUCGGAUUGUUUGGGAAUGCAGGCCAAAUCGGGCGGUAAGCUCCGUCCAAGGCUAAAUACAGGCGAGAGACAGAUAGUGAACAAGUACUGCUAGGGAAAGAUUAAAAAGACUUUGAAAAGGCAGUCAAAGAGUUCUUGAAAUUGCCGGGAGGGAAGCGGAUGGGGGCCGGCGAUGCGCCACAGUCGUAUGCGGAAUGACUCUUGCUGGUCCGCCGCUCGGCUCGGGGUGUGGACUGUUGUCGGCCAUGACGACGACCAAAUCCCGGGGGCCCUAGGUGCCCGGUGGCCAUCAUCGGCACGGCCGGUAACCGCGCGCCGAAAGGCGUGUCCCUCGGGGCACUGCGCUGCAACGGCCUAUGGGCUCCCCAUCCGACCCAUCUUGAAACAUGGUCCAAGGAGUCUGACAUGCGUGCUAGUCGACGGGUUCUGAAACCUGGGGUGCGCCAGGAAGCUGACAAGCGGGAGGCCCUCAUGGCCUGCACCGCUGGCCGACCCUGAUCUUCUGGGAAGGGUAUGAGUUGGAGAACGCCUGUCGGAACAUGAAAGAUGGUGAACUAUAAAUGAGCGAUGCUAAGCGAGAGGAAACUCUGGUGGAGGCUCGAAGCGAUACUAACGUGCAAAUUGUUUGUCUCACUUGGGUAUAGGGGCGAAAGACUAAUCAAACCAUCCACUAGCUGGUUGCCACCAAAGUUUCCCUUAGGAUAGUUGGAGCCCAUUAUGAGUUCUAUCAGGUAAAGCCAAUGAUUAGAGUCAUUGGGGACGCAAAAUCCUCAACCUAUUUUCAAACUUUAAAUAGGUAGGAUGGCGUGGCUGCUUCGGUGAGCCGUGUCAUAGAAUCGGGUGCUCCAAGUGGGCCAUUUUUGGUAAGCAGAACUGGCGAUGCGGGGUGAACUGGAAGCCUGGUUACGGUGCCCAACUGCGAGCUAACCUAGAACCCACAAAGGGUGUUGGUCGAUUAAGACAGCAGGACGGUGGUCAUGGACGUCGAAAUCCGCUAAGGUGUGUGUAACAACUCACUUGCCGAAUCAACUCGCCCCGAAAAUGGACGGCGCUGAAGCGCGCGACCCACACCCGACCAUUUGGGCGAGCGCCAUGCCCCGAUGAGUAGGAAGGCGCGGCGUCCGUUGCAAAACCCGAGGCGCGAGUCCACGCAGAGCGGCCAUUGGUGCAGAUCUUGGUGGUAGUAGCGAAUAUUCAAAUGACAAAUUUGAAGUCCGAAGAGGAGAAUGGUUCCAUGUGAACGGCACAUCCUAAGGGACGGCGUAACCCCGGCAGAUAGCGCGAUCACGCACAUCCCCCAAAAAGGAAUCAUGUUAAGAUAUCCCGAGCCGGGAUGUGGCGAAUGACAGCGAUGUUAGGAAGUCUAGAGAUGCCGGCGGGGGCCUCAGGAAGAGUUAUCUUUUAUGCUUAACGGUCUGCCAACCCUGGAAACGGUUCAGUUGGAGGUAGGGUCUAGUGUACAGUAGAGCACCGCACGUCGCAUGGUGUCCGGUGCGCUCCCGACGGCCCAUGAAAAUCUGGAGGAACGAGUACCAUUCAUGCCCGGUCGUACUCAUGACCGCAUCAGGUCUCCAAGGUGAAAAACCUAUGGCCAAUGGAACAAUGUAGGCAAGGGAAAUUGGCAAAACAGAUCCGUAACUCUGGGGAAAGGAUUGGCCCUGAGGACUAGGCUCGGGGGUCCCGGCCCCGAACCCGUCGGCUAUCGGUGGAUUGUUCGAGCUGCUCACGCGACGAGAGGGGUCAUCGCGUGCCGGCCAGGGACGGGCCAGGAAUCGCCCCUUCGGGGGCUUUCCCCGAGCAUGAAACAGUCGACCCAGAACUGGUACAAACAAGGGGAAUCCGACUGUUUAAUUAAAACAAAG